AAGCUCGUAGUUGAAUUUCGGGGUUUACCCAUUGGUCAGGCUUAAUUGUCUGCACUGGUGAGAUAAAUCUCUACCUUCUGAGGAACCUUCAUGCCAUUUAUUUGGUGUGAUGGGAAAUCAGGACUGUUACUUUGAAAAAAUUAGAGUGUUUAAAGCAGGCUAACGUCUGAAUACACUAGCAUGGAAUAAUGAAAUAGGACGGCUUGGUUCUAUUUCGUUGGUUUCUAGGAUCACCGUAAUGAUUAAUAGGGAUAGUUGGG
rnacentral:rRNA from 1 species